rnacentral:lncRNA from 10 species
GCCCCUCCCCCAGCCUGUCUUCCGCCUUGCAGUUUGAUCUCAGACUGCUGUGCUAGCAAUCAGCGAGACUCCGUGGGCGUAGGACCCUCCGAGCCAGGUGCGUGAUAUAAUCUCGUGGUGCGCCGUUUUUUAAGCCCUUCGGAAAAGCGCAGUAUUCGGGUGGGAGUGACCCGAUUUUCCAGGUGCCGUCCGUCACCCCUUUCUUUGACUUGGAAAGGGAACUCCCUGACCCCUUGCGCUUCCCAAGUGAGGCAAUGCCUCGCCCUGCUUCGGCUCGCUCAGGGUGCGCGCACCCACUGACCUGCGCCCACUGUCUGGCACUCCCUAGUGAGAUGAACCCGGUACCUCAGAUGGAAAUGCAGAAAUCACCCGUCUUAUGCGUCCCUCACGCUGGGAGCUGUAGACAGGAGCUGUUCCUAUUCGGCCAUCUUGGCUCCUCUCUUCGCUUUUUAUUUCUUUCUCUUGACAAAGUUUCUCACAGAACAGAAGUUUUUAAUUUUAAUGAAGUCUAACUCACUAAUUUUUUGUUUUAUGGAUCGGGCUUUUGGUAUUGUAUCUAAAAAGUUGUUGCCAAACAUAAGGUCACC